rnacentral:rRNA from 1 species
AUUGAACGCUGGCGGCAUGCUUUACACAUGCAAGUCGAACGGUAACAGGCCGCAAGGUGCUGACGAGUGGCGAACGGGUGAGUAAUGCAUCGGAACGUGCCCAGUCGUGGGGGAUAACGCAGCGAAAGCUGUGCUAAUACCGCAUACGAUCUAUGGAUGAAAGCAGGGGACCGUAAGGCCUCGCGCGAUUGGAGCGGCCGAUGUCAGAUUAGGUAGUUGGUGGGGUAAAGGCUUACCAAGCCGACGAUCUGUAGCUGGUCUGAGAGGACGACCAGCCACACGGGGACUGAGGAACGGCACAGACUCCUGCGGGAGGCAGCAGUGGGGAAUUUUGGACGAUGGGCGCAAGCCUGAUCCCGCAAUGCCGCGUGCAGGAAGAAGGCCUUCGGGUUGUGAACUGCUUUUGUACGGAACGAAACGGUCUGGGUUAAUACCCUGGGCUAAUGACGGUAACGUAAGAAUAAGCACCGGCUAACUACGUGCCAGCCGCCGCAGUAAUAC